CCGCAUCCGCGUAUUAGGAAACAGCCCCAUCGUUGCGACCCCCUUCCCCUUUUCUCUCGCGCUGCGAUCCCCUCCCGCAGCAAGCGCUUUUCUCGGUCGCGCGAUCCCCUCCGAUCAGCAUCAAGCGCUCUUCUCGAUCGCGCCCCGAUUCCCUUUCUGAUCGCGAGCGCUGCCACGAGCGCCGUCGCGUCCGCCGCCACGAGCUCACCGGUGGCCGCGUCCGCUCAAACCCUGGUCUCGAGCACCGUCGCGACCGCCGCCGCGAGCUCACCGAUGGCUGCGCAUCGCGAUCCCAUCCUGCCCAACGCCGCAAAAGCGCUCGCCGGUGGCCGCGCGCGCCCGCUUUCUGAGCUCGCCGGUCAUGCUCAUGCCGCCGCCCUCCGCUGUCCCGCAUCCCGCUGCCUCGCGCUGCCACCCAGGGGCGGAUCUACCAAUCUAGCAUGGUCUGGCGGCCGCCACACCUUCCGCCAGCGAGAACCCCCUGCAUCCCUUCUAGCCGAGCGGCAUGCCGACGUCUCCCUUAUGCGCGCCACACCUCACAAGUAUGCUACGCGGAGCUGAGGCCCAGCGGAAGGCAUUUUCUGAUGGAAAGCUACUGCAAUUCUGCUGUAGCAAAGAAAAGAGAUCUGUUUCGUGCAUUGUUAUGAGCAUUGUUGUUCCCCAACCGAGUGCAGUGGAGAACCUAGAGAUAUCUCUGAAGCAUAUCCCGUCAAGAAAGAAUAAAACGUUACCUGAUCAACUCUUUGAUCUCAAAAGUAAGAGAUAAUAGUUAUGUUUUGCAGGAACAGGAAUUGCAUGAUCCCAAUAAAGACCUAAGGAAAAAGGACUCCUUGACCAUCCGAGCAAUGAUCCUUCGCUGCAGAUCGGGGUAAGUUUUUCCAGGUGAUAAAUAGCUAAGAUAGUGAAAAAUAGAGAGAGAGAGAGAGAAAACAAAAUUAUAUAAGCAUAUCCACGAAGCCACGCACAACUGUUAUAUGAACACUGAACUAAAGCAAUUACAGUCAGAGUCGGCUCGCAUGGAUGAGGCCAUGACACCAUCACAAUUUCCUAUAAAGAAACAUAAUCCUAGCACUGCACAUUCAGAAAAUCAAAACUGAAAUUUUAAAUUUUAAAUGUGCACAUCCUUCUAAAACUUAUUCCUUAAUAAUAUGACACGCCAGCACAUUCAGAAGAUCUUGCAUUUCUCUAUAGCUAUUUUCAUAUUCCAAUCACAUUCUUUGCGGCCCUUCUCAUGAAUAAUAGUGCAAGAGCCUUUCUUUUGGUACGAAUAGUCUAAAUUUUAGUAGAUGUACAUAAAGGUAGUUGGUUUGAGCUUUGGAUCAACUUCUUCAUUGUGCUAAUCUGCAAGUACAUUGGGAAUCAGACAUUGUGCUCUGUAGCUGGACGGUGCACAACAGGUUUGUAAACUUGGUGCGCAACAGGUGUGUAAACUUAUGCCUACUAACUUUGAUCUCUUUCAAAGAUUAUCAAUAGUACAUGUGCACACCAAUGUCCUUUACUGGAUCCUGCCUGUAGUUAUGUGUGCUUUCAUCUGAUCCAAUUUCAAGUGUAUUAUGCCUAUUAGCUUUGGUCCCUUUAAUGCCUGCCGUUCUUUGUGCCUGAAUCUGUGAAUGGAGUGCUUCAAUGACCUUCAACCUUUUCGAAUUACAUCCCUCUCCCCUCUUAAAGCUAAUGGUCCCAUUAAAAUCCAAGUUAUGUUUCAUACAUCGUUUAGUAAGAAUGGGCCCGAUCCUUAGUUGUUGGAGAAGAAACGAUAGUGAUGAACAACUAUCAAUUUACCUAAACAUAUUUCUUGGUUUUUUAGCGAAUCUUAAUUUUCCAUGGCCUUUAGUACACAUUGUGGCCUUAAAAAACAUUAACAAGCACGUGCAGCCACUAUUAGAUCUUUAGUUUUAUCUAUGAUUAGUCUUAUGUAAUUUCACUACACUUCCAUAUAAUGCUUAAUCGCAAAACUUAGUUGAAUAUUUUGGGGGAUUUUGAAUUUUGAAUUUGUGUUGUCUUUGAACAAUAAGGAAUCAGUAUGUAGUGUAGAUCAAGUUGGUUUCCAGAGGCUAUAAAGGCAGAAGAUGGAUAUAUUGUGUACUAGGUCGCAAAAGAUUGUUCCAAUAAAGUGAAAUCUCUAUUCACUUUUGUUAUCUGUCAGCGGUUUAGUCAAUGAUGCCUGGAUAGUAAAGUAAAUACAUGAUGCAAUCGUUGCAAGAUCAACUACACAAGAAAAUAGUCGACAUUAUUUUUUUAUCUAAACAAAUAGACAUACUAGAGAAUUUUAUGCUUCUUCUAAGACCAAUUAUGUGAAUCUAUUUUGUUAUGGUUCCUAUAGGAGUGUCAGGAGCAUAAUAGUGGAUAUGGUUUUCAGCCCUCACCGUGCAUUUUUCUUGCGAGUGGUUGAUAUGAACUAAACUUCAUAAAUUAUUUUUUCUCUUUCUGUGUGCAGGAUGAGAUGGAAACCUUCACCACCCUAAGUGUCAACAAGACGAAGGACGCUAACACAUCAUAGUAUAGUUGCUAAGACAUCAUAGUAUAGUUGCUAAUAUAUCUGUUGUAUUCUACCGUUUGAUGAGCAAAGCACACAUAUAUUUUUUUAUAUUGCACACUUCUCAACUUUAGCAGUUUUCAUGUAUUUAAAGAUGUGGGCUUCUCUUUGUGAAAGUUUUCAUAUAUAUUGCACAUUUCUUAAUAUUGGUUGUUUCUAUGUAUUUAAACAUGUGGUCCUUGAAUC